GGAAGGUCCGGGCGUUAUCCGGAUUUAUUGGGUUUAAAGGGAGCGUAGGCCGGAGAUUAAGCGUGUUGUGAAAUGUAGACGCUCAACGUCUGCACUGCAGCGCGAACUGGUUUCCUUGAGUACGCAUAAAGUGGGCGGAAUUCGUGGUGUAGCGGUGAUAUGCUUAGAUAUCACGAAGAACUCCGAUUGCGAAGGCAGCUCACUGGGGCGCAACUGACGCUGAAGCUCGAAAGCGCGGGUAUCGAACAGGAUUAGAUACCCUGGUAGUCCGCGCGGUAAACGAUGGAUGCCCGCUGUUGGGCCAACUGGUUCAGCGGCCAAGCGAAAGCAUUAAGCAUCCCACCUGGGGAGU
rnacentral:rRNA from 1 species